GCGGGGCAGACCCGCGGGAUGUUCCCGGAAGGGAGAACCACAAA
rfam:Thermococcus kodakarensis KOD1 DNA, complete genome.